GGGUCAGUAGCUCAGUUGGAUAGAGUACGGGCCUUCUAAGCCUGGGGUCGGGGGUUCGAAUCCCUUCUGGCUCACCA
rnacentral:tRNA from 2 species